AGGUAUUGCUGCCUCACCUAACCCUCAAAGCAUUCAGAGGCAGCUUUGCAAACUUCAGCAUGUUCACAUACAAGGAGGAGUUGUUUAUCCUACCAAACAUUGCUUCAGCUCCCAACUUUCAUGCUUUCUGGGAAGGUGUACAGCUGUUUUGGGGAAGGGCCAUGGCUGAAUGGCAGAGCAUCUGCUUUGAAAGUAGAUAGUUCCAGGUUCAAUCGCUGGCAUCUCCAGGUCUUCUGGGUUCUCUAGACUAAGAUCCUCUUCAUCUGCUGCUUGCUGAGCCUUCACAAGUCUUAAGAUACUCCCAUUUCUUUCCAUCUUCAAGAACAGCUGAAACUCUCAUCUGCCUACAAUCUGUAAAGGACGUGAAUACCUGUAAUGUCCCUUUCUGAGUCUGUAGGGCAGUUUCACUCUGAUUAAGUCUCCAGUUUCAAAUGUGUGAGUUGCGGUUCCUUUUUUAUAGUCUACAUACUGUUUAUAUUUGUCUUGUUUUUCUUUUACAUAUGAAUGAAGUGCCACAUCAGAAGGUUUUCAUGCCAGAGUGUACAGGACAGGUAGUCAGUCCUGUACAAACUUUGUGUUCUCUUAACAGUUCAAAGUAUGAUUUUCCUGACAUUGAGUGUAGAUUGUCUCAUGUCAGGAAACUUCCCAUGGUGCUAACUUCCAAUUAGGAAGCUAUAGCCUCUCUUUUCUAGAUUGAUCAUUCUGUUAACCAGGCGUUUAGGCUUUGGAUGGUACAAGGAAAUAAUUUUAUACUUUAUGCCAUUACUUUGGAGGUAUUUCUAUAGAGCUUAACUGAACCCCCUUAUCUCUCACAAGAGAAGUGCUUCCGGCAAAUAAAAUAAAAUACAAUACAAAAAAAUAAAAUAUGAACACGUGAAGCAAACACUGUUUCUGUUACAAUUUUUGAAGAAAAUAUAACCUCAGGCCAUUUUAAUUUUACUUAUUUAAAAGAUUUUAAGGUUGCCCUGUAGGCCAAUGUCCUCUCUGGAUAACUUCCAAAUUUAAAACUGCAAUUAAACAGAU